rnacentral:rRNA from 1 species
AUGAACGCGUAGCGGCAGGCUUAACACAUGCAAGUCGAGGGGCAACACGGGGUAGCAAUACCUGGUGGCGACCGGCGCAAGGGUGCGUAACGCGUGAGCAACAUGCCCUAGUACAGGGGGAUAAUACCAGGGAAACUUGGUCUAAUAUCCCAUAGUAUUUAGAGGUGGCAUCACCACUAAAUUAAAGCUUCGGUGGUAUAGGAUUGGCUCGCGUGACAUUAGCUGGAUGGUGGGGUAACGGCUCACCAUGGCGAUGAUGUCUAGGGGUUCUGAGAGGAAGACCCCCCACGACUGGGACUGAGACACGGCCCAGACUCCUACGGGAGGCAGCAGUGAGGAAUAUUGGACAAUGGAUGGAAAUCUGAUCCAGCCAUGCCGCGUGCAGGAAGACGGCCCUAUGGGUUGUAAACUGCUUUUAUAUGGGAGCAAUAAGGUUUACGCGUAGACCGAUGAGAGUACCAUAUGAAUAAGCAUCGGCUAACUCCGUG